UUUACUACAGAGAGACUCGCAUGCAGUGUUUUUAAGCACAGAAAAAUCGUUUUAAGUUUGCUACGCCAUCCUUGGAUCUUUGAUAUACUCAUGCGGAUAUCGAUCUAAUUCGUGAACAACUACACGUGCGAAUUACGAAAGCAUAGGCAACCAGAGCAUAAUCCCCUUGAAGAAAGACAGCUGGAUUAUCAGAUCAUGUGAAUUUGAUUUGGAUGAAGCUUGCUUUUUGAAAUUGUGUUUAAUUCCCUAAUGAGUAAUAUUGGUAUUCAACCAUAAAAGGAGAAAUACCGUACAAUGUCACCCAUUCAAGUGCCAACCACCUAGUUCCUACAUAUUCCAAUUGCUCAAGCAGUAAGUUGUGGUUGAUCACAUCAAAGGCUUUUUUGAGGUCCAUAAAUAUUGCUAAUACAUAUUCUCU